GGCAAAUCAAGCAGUUCAUGC
rnacentral:siRNA from 1 species